ACCUAUAUAUAAGAACAAACCACAAUUACAGGUUUACUACCUUCUUUCUCCGGCACCAACACAGUCACCGCCGCCGCCGUCCCCACUUUCAUUUCUCCGGCCGCCACUACCAUGUUCAUCUCAAAGACUUAACAUUUAAACCCCUAUGUGGCAUCCAAUAUUCAGGUUAUCAUCCUCUUUCUCUACUGAUUCUGUAAAACAUAUAUCUAAAUUCCAUUAUAUAUCUAUUUCAUCACUUGCCCAUUUAACUUACAGUUCAGAUUUAUCAUCUUCAGAUGAAAAUAAUAAUGCCCAGUUAGUUUGCAGCCCAUUUGAAGAAAAACACCCCAACAAGUUUUCAGUCCUUGAAACUUUACAUAAGUUAAAUAAACAGCCCAAUCUUGCAUUAUCUUUCAUUACCCAGUUAAAAGCUUCAAACUUUAAGCAUGAUGUUGUUACUUAUAUGGCUAUAGUUAGGUUCUUAUGUAAUUGGGGUAUGGAUAUAAGGUUAUAUAAUGUUUUCUUGGAUGUUGUAAAGAACCCAGAUGGGGUUGGUUUUGAAUUCGAUGUUUCGGAUUUGUUUGAAGUGUUGAUGGAUGAGAUUAAGGCCACGAGGUCGAGAAGUUUGAUGAAAGGUGUUGAUGUUUUGGUUAAGGUUUAUGCGAGUGUUGGGAUGUUUGAUGAGGCGGUUGACACGUUGUUUAAGGUGAAAAGGGGUGGGAUUUUAUUGUCGACAAAUACGUGUAAUUAUUUGAUGAAUCAGUUGAUUUCGUGGGAGAAGUUGGAUAUGUUGGAGUCGGUUUUUAGGCAGUUGAAGAGGAAAGGAUUGGUUCCGAAUGUGUAUACGUAUGGGAUUUUGGUUAAAGGAUUUUGUAGGAAGGGGUGUUUGGAGGAAGCUUUGGAUGUUUUUAGGAAAAUGAAGGAGGAUGGUGUUGAGCCUAAUGAGUUUACUUAUGGUACUUAUAUAGAUGGGCUUUGUUCGAAUGGAAGAGUUGAUUCUGGUUUUGAGUUCCUGAAAAGUUUACGGGUCGCAAAUGUGCAAAUGAAUGUUUAUGCUUAUACUUCUAUCAUUAGACGUUAUGUGAAAGAGUUGAAGCUACAGGAUGCAGAAAGCGUCUUGCUUGACAUGAAGAAUGCUGGAGUUGUGCCUGAUGUGACUUGUUAUGGAGCAUUGAUUCAAGGAUAUUGUAAAACAGGGAAUAUUCUUAAGGCGUUAGCCCUACAUGAUGAGAUGGAAUCAACAGGUACUAAAACUGAUUGUAAGAUUGUAAGUGCGAUAAUGCAAUGCUUGUGUAAGCUGGGUUUGCUGGCUGAAGCUGCAUGUCGAUUCAUGGAUUAUAUGGAGUUGGGAGUUUUUCUUGAUGAAAUCUCGUUUAAUAUUGCGAUUGAUGCAUUAUGUAAACUAGGGAAAAUGGACGAAGCUAUUGUGUUGUUUCAAGAAAUGAAGCGUAAGAACAUGAUUCCAGAUGUUAUGCAUUAUACCACUUUGAUCAACGGGUAUGGGCUUAAAGGAGAACCAUGGAAUGCGUAUAGUAUCUUUGAAGAGAUGACGAGGAAUGGAUUGAGACCAGAUGUUAUCACUUUUGACGUGCUUGCUGGUGGGUUUUCAAAAUGUGGUUUUUUUGAGGAGACAAUCGGUCUUUUAAACGAUAUGCGGGCACAUGGGCUAGAACCCACGUGUAUUACAGAUAGUGUGGUCAUUGAGGGGUUAUGUAAGGGAGGAAAGGUGAAAGAAGCUGAAUAUUUUUUCAAUACUCUGGAAUUUAAAACUUUGGAUCAUUAUGCAGCAAUGAUGAAUGGGUACUGCGAAGCAAACGAUACCACUAAUGCUUUUAAACUUUGGUUGUCUGAACGCGGGCUCAUUGUAAAACGGGCUUCUUGCUUAAAACUUCUAAGCCGUCUUUGCGCGGAAGGCAAAACCAGAAAAGCUAUCGAGUUAUUUGAAGCACUUGAGGCAUCAGACAACAGUAAAGGUGACUUAUUAUACAGUGAACUUGUAUCCGUGUAUUCACGUCUUGGAGACAUUAGGAUGGCGAGGUGGGUUUUUGAUAAAAUGAUCGAAAAAGGAUUAAUACCAGAUGCCAUUACGUACACUAUGAUUAUAAAUGGUUAUUGUAGGGUUAAUUCUGUAAAGGAAGCUUAUUAUCUUUUUAAUGACAUGAAAAAUAGGGGUAUAAGACCUGAUAUUGUUACCUAUACCGUUUUACUUCACGGAGGACGUAAAAAGGAGGAUGUGUUGAGAAUUUCAAGUGAAAUUGAAGAAAUGGGCUUAAGUUGUGAUGUCAUUUGCUAUACGGUUAUGAUUGACAAGCAUUGUAAAUCAGAUAACUUAGAGGAUGCUGUUUGCUUAUUUAAUGAAAUGAUAGACAGAGGUCUUCAACCAAAUACUGUGACAUACACUGCACUUGUGUGUGGAUAUUGUUCUCAUGGAUACAUGAAGAAGGCUGAAACACUUGUUGAUGAGAUGAUAUCAAAGGGGAUCCAACCAAACUCACGGACUAUGCUAGCUCUAACAACAGUGAAGGCCAAGAAAGGGAAAUUUAGGCAUUAAAUUACCCUUACAGUGCCGGAUUUUAAAUCAGAAGCUCCACCCGACCAACUCUCUGGUUCACUCUGCCGGAAGCAUUUAGCUACACUCGGAAAAAGGGUCAUGAACGUGAAAUGAUAUAUCUUAGAUAGCCCUGGAAUUGUGGAAAGUGACUGAAAGUUUGCUGGGACAAAAACUAACAAAAGUUAAUUGAAUCAGUGUCUGCUUGGACAUGUGCAACAAAUCAAUAGAGCUGUAAGCAUUGCUUCAACUACUUUCUCAAUUGAAGCUCUUUUUUUGCUUUAAUGUGAGUUUUUCAGCCUUCCGGCUCUAAUGCAAAUGAAGUCAUGGUGUAUUUGUGGUGUCUGACAUAGCUUAUGCAGCAUACCCUCCGUCCCAUGGGAAGGAAAAAAAAUGCAAAACGUGCUACUCGUAUUUAGGUUCGUUCCAAAAAUUGUGAAAAUAUCCGAGUUUAUCCAUUGAAAUUCUUUAGAUCAUAUCGUUUAUCUCCCUGAAGAUGGUUGAAGCUAUCCAUCAUCUAAAUGUUUCACCAGCCACCUUCUCCUGGGAGACCCUUGUCCUGUCAUGAAAACGCUGAUAAAGAUAGUUAAAUGUGGCCUUAUAGAUCUAUCAUGGUUGAAUGGUUACGUAUAUGCACAAAAAGCAGAAGAUAGGAAACAAAAAGCCAUGCGCAGAGAGCCAGGUAUGCAUACGGCCAAGAAUACGCCUGAAACUUCGAAUUGCCAGCGAGGGAGAAACCACCAACAAGCAACAAAAACUCCACAGAGAAGAGUUUUUUAUUUUUAUUUUAUAUUUACAACACACUACAGAAUAUGAGAAUAGGAUAUACAAGUACAUAAUUAGUAGUGUAACUCUUAAAUAUUUUUUUUUGUUGUUAUACAGAACUGUCUCAUGGUUUUUAAA